rnacentral:rRNA from 1 species
AACGAACGCUGGCGGCAUGCCUAACACAUGCAAGUCGAACGAAGCCUUCGGGCUUAGUGGCGCACGGGUGCGUAACGCGUGGGAAUCUGCCCUUGGGUUCGGAAUAACAGUUAGAAAUGACUGCUAAUACCGGAUGACGUCUUCGGACCAAAGAUUUAUCGCCCAAGGAUGAGCCCGCGUAGGAUUAGGUAGUUGGUGGGGUAAUGGCCCACCAAGCCGACGAUCCUUAGCUGGUCUGAGAGGAUGAUCAGCCACACUGGGACUGAGACACGGCCCAGACUCCUGCGGGAGGCAGCAGUGGGGAUAUUGGACAAUGGGCGAAAGCCUGAUCCAGCAAUGCCGCGUGAGUGAUGAAGGCCUUAGGGUUGUAAAGCUCUUUUACCAGGGAUGAUAAUGACAGUACCUGGAGAAUAAGCUCCGGCUAACUCCGUGCCAGCAGCCGCCGUAACAC